AUGACAACUCCACACAGUUACACCUCAGUAGAAACAUGGAAGUCCUUAAGUGACCACUUUUUUGGUACAAUUGUACCACAGUGGCAGUCUCUGCAGUUCAACCCAGAGUACUGCAACACUGAGCUGCCUUCCACUUUGCUGAAAGACAUGUUGAAACUUUGUUCCAUGUUAGUGGAUGCAAUGGACACAACCGUGGAGAAGGGAGAUCCAGUGUCUACGCAGACUGAUGAGGUCUGUCUUCACUCAGUGGACACAGAGUCCCAUGAGAAAACAGAAGAAACAGGAGCAAAGGACAGCAUCCUGAAAGAAAUUUCUGUAGAUGACCACGGUAAUAAUGAAGAAACAGAAACUCCAGGACUGGAGGACUCUUCAGACUCAAAAAACCUCAAGCUGCAUUUGACUGCAGAGGAGAGCAGUCUUGAUAAAACAUCCACAGAUGACAGUGAAAAUAGAGAAAUUCUAACACUGCAUCGUGCACCUACACCACCCAACAUAUAUCUAAAUGUUUUUAUUGGUUUCAGUGAGUCAUCUGAGGAAGAAGCGUCUGUGUCGUCCCAGAUGAUUCCUCCUCAAACCCAAACCGCAGCCACAGUAGAACCGAAGAAGAGCUGUUGGAAGAAAAACUACUCAAAAAACUUGGACAACAUAGAAGCUUGCCCCCUGGAAAAGUCUGUGAAGAAAGCUGUGCAUGUGUCAGUCGGUAAUGGUGAUUCAGAUUUUGGUUCUUAUAACAUCACUCUGGCAUCUGAUUAUCUGUCUGAAGAAAAGAUGUGUGUUUACAAAGUUAUUCAGUUGGUAGUUUCAGAGGCCACAAGCAAAGCCUCCUCUAAAUACAAGGACUUCACACGGCGUAUGACUCCGGACUCCAUCAGCAAUCGCCUGCUUGAAAAAAUCUGGCCUCAGAUUGACGAGAGAGAUUUGGAUCUAUCUCCAAAAAGGCUGACCAAUAUCAACAAGGACAUUUUCACCAACCUUUGCAAAGCACAUAACUGCAAGGAGAAAUAUUUGAUUAUGUGUCUGAGAGAACAACUUGACGAUAUUACUGUCCCAACGUUUACAGAACUCCUGUUGGCUUUACCAAAAAGAGUACUCACUAUAUCUGAAAACAGAGAAGAGUACAGAAAAGUUGUUGAAAGCUUCACUAAAGAUUUGGUUCUGCACGCUAUAAGCAACACAAAUGAGGCAUGGAAAUUGCCUCCAGGGGCAGAUAAAGCCAUUAUGGACAGGUUUACCCACAGGAUUUGGGCUAAAAUUAAGUCCCAAAACCUUAAAAUGUCCUUAGAGAACACUGAAGAAGUCAGUGUGAAAGUCUACAAUGAACUCCGGGAAAAGUGGAAAAGUCCAAACACUGUCCUGGAGUUAAUGUUUAAUGGCCAAGACAAUAUUGACAACGUGAUUGUCAAAAGUUUCAAAAGAAAUGCCCCAUUGAAGAGACCAAGUUUUUUCUCUAGGAUUUUCUCACGAGCACUCUAA
rnacentral:lncRNA from 1 species